rnacentral:rRNA from 1 species
GACGAACGCUGGCGGCGUGCUUAACACAUGCAAGUCGAACGGAAAGGCCCUGCUUUUGUGGGGUGCGCGAGUGGCGAACGGGUGAGUAACACGGGAGUAACCUGCCCUUGACUUUGGGAUAACUUCAGGAAACUGGGGCUAAUACCGGAUAGGAGCUCCUGCUGCAUGGAGGGGGUUGGAAAGUUUCGGCGGUUGGGGAUGGACUGGCGGCUUAUCAGCUUGUUGGUGGGGUAGUGGCUUACCAAGGCUUUGACGGGUAGCCGGCCUGAGAGGGUGACCGGCCACAUUGGGACUGAGCUACGGCCCGGACUCCUACGGGAGGCAGCAGUGGGGAAUAUUGCACAAUGGGCGGAAGCCUGAUGCAGCAACGCCGCGUGCGGGAUGACGGCCUUCGGGUUGUAGACCGCUUUCGCCUGUGACGAAGCGUGAGUGACGGUACUGGGUAAAGAAGCACCGGCUAACUACGUG